AAGUAAAUAAAUUCACUAGAAAAAUAAGUGGUAGAAUUAACUAGGUUGAGCUCAUUAGUACUCGAGUAAUUAAGUCUGAGGGGACUUUGUGCCUAACAACCUAAAGCCCUUCGUGGUUUGGGAUUGUUGACCCAACGCUCGCUACAUGGGUAUUAGUGCAUAAAUCCUUAGGGAUCUCAACCAUUGCACGGUUAAAUAAACCACUAGAAUAGAGUGAAUAAUUGGUGUGUGAAGUCUUGUGGUGUUCGUAACGCAUUUACACUGCGAAGCGCUCUGACCUUAGACCAAGCAAUUAAUCACCAAUAGAAAAAAAAAAUAUAUAGGUAAUAAAAUAGAAGGGUGUGGAUAUUCUUUGGGACCUUGCCUUUAGUUGGACUUGAGUGACGGGGUGUUAGUUUUAAACCUUUACGAUUCUUGAUUGGGAUUCUGUGGGAGUAGUAGUUUUUGUCUUGUCUCAAUAAAAGAGCAUGCUUGCACACACGGGCACUCCACACUUGUAAAUAGAAGAGUAAUUGACUUAGUAGCGAGAGAGAUGAAAUUCGAGAACAUUAGCACAAUCUGAGGUAUUAUAAUUGGCAAGGCAAUUACUUCAUAGUUUACUCAUUCAUCACGUAGUUGCAUUCAUGCAUUGCAUUGUAUUAUUGUUAGUGUCGUUGACGCUUGAGGACAAGCAUCAGUUUAAGUUUGGGGGUGUGAUAAGUGGUAUUUAUACACACUUAUAGGCCUUCAUUUCUACUUAAAUUGGUUGGUUGUACUUAAGUGUUUAGUGUCUUUUGAUGUGUUUUUAUUGUUUUUCUGUGCAGGUCACGAGUUGAGGUGAUGAAGUGAUUUUCUAUCAUUUUAGGUUGGUUUUGGUGCAUUAAUUGCAAGAAUAGAGAAUUGUGGAUUCAUCGCGACUUGGGAUUUUGUGGGUAUAUCUUCUACAAACCCUCACGAGAGCACACUCGUCCACUAGAGCUAUCUAGGGGUUUAAAGGGCUUGUUGCAUAUGCUAAAUGCAACCGUGAUCACCUACGGAAGUGGUACUAGAAGCGAGGAAGGACA
rnacentral:lncRNA from 1 species